rnacentral:lncRNA from 1 species
AAAUGUACAGAUCAAGUGAUUUCUGAUAUAGGUUGAUCCUUUGAAGGUUACACAUCUCUAACUUGUUUAUUUUGUCACUCUAUUCAUCUGUGUAUCCUCUUAUUUUCAAUUUUAUUCUUUCCUCACCAAUGAUUAUGAUCGGGUUUUUUGUAUUGUUUUAUUGAGAUUGAGAUGUUUGUUAGGAUUAUGAGGAUCUCACAGUAAUAAAGGUGAUGCUAUUGUAACACUGGAAAAAUGAUUGAGUUGGUUUCCUUUAUACGACACGAUCUCAUUUUCAUUUUCUUAUAAUUAUUCUGUUUUCUUGUUUUCUUUUUCAUUUUCUACUUAUAAUUAGUAUUUUUGCAUAUUUUUUAAUCUGUAUAACUUAUGUUAAUUGUUUAAUUAUCAGAAUAUAGAAGAUGACAUUGUAUGUUCUUUAGGAUAUAAGUAUAUAUUUAAUUAAUUUUGAUGUUCAAUACAUAUCUUUCUAAACUAUUUAAUGUCAAGGUUUGUUAAUCAUUACAUGUUCGAUUGAUUUAUAUAAGUGAGGAUGUACUUAAUAGAAAUAUUUAGCUUACACUAUUUAAUAGAAAUCUCUUGUUCAUGAUCACUUUAUGAUUGUAUAAACAAAAUACAAAGGGUAAAAAAAUACGUACACUUGAUAAAUUGUCAUAUUUUCCUUUUUUUUCUUUCUUUUAUGAGUCAUUUUCUUUCUUAUCUAUCAAAUGUACAGAUCAAGUGAUUUCUGAUAUAGGUUGAUCUUUUGAAGGUUACACAUCUCUAACUUGUUUAUUUUGUCACUCUAUUCAUCUGUGUUUCCUCUUAUUUUCAAUUUUAUUCUUGCCUCACCAAUGAUUAUGAUCGGGUUUUUUGUAUUGUUUUGAUGAGAUUGAGAUGUUUGUUAGGAUUAUGAGGAUCUCACAAUAAUAAAGGUGAUGCUAAUGUAACACUGGAAAAAUGAUUGAGUUGGUUUCCUUUAUACCACACGAUCUCAUUUUCAUUUUCUUAUAAUUAUUCUGUUUUCUUUUUUUCUUUUUCAUUUUCUACUUAUAAUUAGUAUUUUAGCAUAUUUUUUAAUCUGUAUAACUUAUGUUAAUUGUUUAAUUAUCAGAAUAUAGAAGAUGACAUUGUAUGUUCUUUAGGAUAUAAGUAUAUAUUUAAUUAAUUUUGAUGUUCAAUACAUAUCUUUCUAAACUAUUUAAUGUCAAGGUUUGUUAAUCAUUACAUGUUCGAUUGAUUUAUAUAAGUGAGGAUGUACUUAAUAGAAAUAUUUAGCUUACACUAUUUAAUAGAAAUCUCUUGUUCAUGAUCACUUUAUGAUUGUAUAAACAAAAUACAAAGGGUAAAAAAAUACGUACACUUGAUAAAUUGUCAUAUUUUCCUUUUUUUUCUUUCUUUUAUGAGUCAUUUUCUUUCUUAUCUAUCAAAUGUACAGAUCAAGUGAUUUCUGAUAUAGGUUGAUCUUUUGAAGGUUACACAUCUCUAACUUGUUUAUUUUGUCACUCUAUUCAUCUGUGUUUCCUCUUAUUUUCAAUUUUAUUCUUGCCUCACCAAUGAUUAUGAUCGGGUUUUUUGUAUUGUUUUGAUGAGAUUGAGAUGUUUGUUAGGAUUAUGAGGAUCUCACAAUAAUAAAGGUGAUGCUAAUGUAACACUGGAAAAAUGAUUGAGUUGGUUUCCUUUAUACCACACGAUCUCAUUUUCAUUUUCUUAUAAUUAUUCUGUUUUCUUUUUUUCUUUUUCAUUUUCUACUUAUAAUUAGUAUUUUAGCAUAUUUUUUAAUCUGUAUAACUUAUGUUAAUUGUUUAAUUAUCAGAAUAUAGAAGAUGACAUUGUAUGUUCUUUAGGAUAUAAGUAUAUAUUUAAUUAAUUUUGAUGUUCAAUACAUAUCUUUCUAAACUAUUUAAUGUCAAGGUUUGUUAAUCAUUACAUGUUCGAUUGAUUUAUAUAAGUGAGGAUGUACUUAAUAGAAAUAUUUAGCUUACACUAUUUAAUAGAAAUCUCUUGUUCAUGAUCACUUUAUGAUUGUAUAAACAAAAUACAAAGGGUAAAAAAAUACGUACACUUGAUAAAUUGUCAUAUUUUCCUUUUUUUUCUUUCUUUUAUGAGUCAUUUUCUUUCUUAUCUAUCAAAUGUACAGAUCAAGUGAUUUCUGAUAUAGGUUGAUCUUUUGAAGGUUACACAUCUCUAACUUGUUUAUUUUGUCACUCUAUUCAUCUGUGUUUCCUCUUAUUUUCAAUUUUAUUCUUGCCUCACCAAUGAUUAUGAUCGGGUUUUUUGUAUUGUUUUGAUGAGAUUGAGAUGUUUGUUAGGAUUAUGAGGAUCUCACAAUAAUAAAGGUGAUGCUAAUGUAACACUGGAAAAAUGAUUGAGUUGGUUUCCUUUAUACCACACGAUCUCAUUUUCAUUUUCUUAUAAUUAUUCUGUUUUCUUUUUUUCUUUUUCAUUUUCUACUUAUAAUUAGUAUUUUAGCAUAUUUUUUAAUCUGUAUAACUUAUGUUAAUUGUUUAAUUAUCAGAAUAUAGAAGAUGACAUUGUAUGUUCUUUAGGAUAUAAGUAUAUAUUUAAUUAAUUUUGAUGUUCAAUACAUAUCUUUCUAAACUAUUUAAUGUCAAGGUUUGUUAAUCAUUACAUGUUCGAUUGAUUUAUAUAAGUGAGGAUGUACUUAAUAGAAAUAUUUAGCUUACACUAUUUAAUAGAAAUCUCUUGUUCAUGAUCACUUUAUGAUUGUAUAAACAAAAUACAAAGGGUAAAAAAAUACGUACACUUGAUAAAUUGUCAUAUUUUCCUUUUUUUUCUUUCUUUUAUGAGUCAUUUUCUUUCUUAUCUAUCAAAUGUACAGAUCAAGUGAUUUCUGAUAUAGGUUGAUCUUUUGAAGGUUACACAUCUCUAACUUGUUUAUUUUGUCACUCUAUUCAUCUGUGUUUCCUCUUAUUUUCAAUUUUAUUCUUGCCUCACCAAUGAUUAUGAUCGGGUUUUUUGUAUUGUUUUGAUGAGAUUGAGAUGUUUGUUAGGAUUAUGAGGAUCUCACAAUAAUAAAGGUGAUGCUAAUGUAACACUGGAAAAAUGAUUGAGUUGGUUUCCUUUAUACCACACGAUCUCAUUUUCAUUUUCUUAUAAUUAUUCUGUUUUCUUUUUUUCUUUUUCAUUUUCUACUUAUAAUUAGUAUUUUAGCAUAUUUUUUAAUCUGUAUAACUUAUGUUAAUUGUUUAAUUAUCAGAAUAUAGAAGAUGACAUUGUAUGUUCUUUAGGAUAUAAGUAUAUAUUUAAUUAAUUUUGAUGUUCAAUACAUAUCUUUCUAAACUAUUUAAUGUCAAGGUUUGUUAAUCAUUACAUGUUCGAUUGAUUUAUAUAAGUGAGGAUGUACUUAAUAGAAAUAUUUAGCUUACACUAUUUAAUAGAAAUCUCUUGUUCAUGAUCACUUUAUGAUUGUAUAAACAAAAUACAAAGGGUAAAAAAAUACGUACACUUGAUAAAUUGUCAUAUUUUCCUUUUUUUUCUUUCUUUUAUGAGUCAUUUUCUUUCUUAUCUAUCAAAUGUACAGAUCAAGUGAUUUCUGAUAUAGGUUGAUCUUUUGAAGGUUACACAUCUCUAACUUGUUUAUUUUGUCACUCUAUUCAUCUGUGUUUCCUCUUAUUUUCAAUUUUAUUCUUGCCUCACCAAUGAUUAUGAUCGGGUUUUUUGUAUUGUUUUGAUGAGAUUGAGAUGUUUGUUAGGAUUAUGAGGAUCUCACAAUAAUAAAGGUGAUGCUAAUGUAACACUGGAAAAAUGAUUGAGUUGGUUUCCUUUAUACCACACGAUCUCAUUUUCAUUUUCUUAUAAUUAUUCUGUUUUCUUUUUUUCUUUUUCAUUUUCUACUUAUAAUUAGUAUUUUAGCAUAUUUUUUAAUCUGUAUAACUUAUGUUAAUUGUUUAAUUAUCAGAAUAUAGAAGAUGACAUUGUAUGUUCUUUAGGAUAUAAGUAUAUAUUUAAUUAAUUUUGAUGUUCAAUACAUAUCUUUCUAAACUAUUUAAUGUCAAGGUUUGUUAAUCAUUACAUGUUCGAUUGAUUUAUAUAAGUGAGGAUGUACUUAAUAGAAAUAUUUAGCUUACACUAUUUAAUAGAAAUCUCUUGUUCAUGAUCACUUUAUGAUUGUAUAAACAAAAUACAAAGGGUAAAAAAAUACGUACACUUGAUAAAUUGUCAUAUUUUCCUUUUUUUUCUUUCUUUUAUGAGUCAUUUUCUUUCUUAUCUAUCAAAUGUACAGAUCAAGUGAUUUCUGAUAUAGGUUGAUCUUUUGAAGGUUACACAUCUCUAACUUGUUUAUUUUGUCACUCUAUUCAUCUGUGUUUCCUCUUAUUUUCAAUUUUAUUCUUGCCUCACCAAUGAUUAUGAUCGGGUUUUUUGUAUUGUUUUGAUGAGAUUGAGAUGUUUGUUAGGAUUAUGAGGAUCUCACAAUAAUAAAGGUGAUGCUAAUGUAACACUGGAAAAAUGAUUGAGUUGGUUUCCUUUAUACCACACGAUCUCAUUUUCAUUUUCUUAUAAUUAUUCUGUUUUCUUUUUUUCUUUUUCAUUUUCUACUUAUAAUUAGUAUUUUAGCAUAUUUUUUAAUCUGUAUAACUUAUGUUAAUUGUUUAAUUAUCAGAAUAUAGAAGAUGACAUUGUAUGUUCUUUAGGAUAUAAGUAUAUAUUUAAUUAAUUUUGAUGUUCAAUACAUAUCUUUCUAAACUAUUUAAUGUCAAGGUUUGUUAAUCAUUACAUGUUCGAUUGAUUUAUAUAAGUGAGGAUGUACUUAAUAGAAAUAUUUAGCUUACACUAUUUAAUAGAAAUCUCUUGUUCAUGAUCACUUUAUGAUUGUAUAAACAAAAUACAAAUGUAAAAAAAAUACGUACACUUGAUAAAUUGUCAUAUUUUCCUUUUUUUCUUUCUUUUAUGAGUCAUUUUCUUUAUGAUCUAUCAAAUGUAAAGAUCAAGUGAUUUCUGAUAUAGGUUGGUCUUUUGAAGGUUACACAUCUCUAACUUGUUUAUUUUGUCACUCUAUUCAUCUGUGUAUCCUCUUAUUUUCAAUUUUAUUCUUGCCUCACCAAUGAUUAUGAUCGGGUUUUUUGUAUUGUUUUGAUGAGAUUGAGAUGUUUGUAAGGAUUAUGAGGAUCUCAC